rnacentral:rRNA from 1 species
UACGUAGAGUGCGAGCGUUGUCCGGAAUUAUUGGGCGUAAAGAGCUUGUAGGCGGUUUGUCGCGUCUGCCGUGAAAAUUCGAGGCUCAACCUCGAACUUGCGGUGGGUACGGGCAGACUAGAGUGUGGUAGGGGAGACUGGAAUUCCUGGUGUAGCGGUGAAAUGCGCAGAUAUCAGGAGGAACACCGAUGGCGAAGGCAGGUCUCUGGGCCGUAACUGACGCUGAGGAGCGAAAGCAUGGGGAGCGAACAGG